UUGUCGUUACACGUGGGUACAAAUACAUUCACCCAUAAUAAGCCGCAAGAUAGAGCAGAUGCCUCCCCCUCUCUCUCCCAUCAUCGUCGGCGCUUAACUCAUCUUUCUCACCACCACCAGCCACCAUCACUAGAAACAUUCAUGGUUGUCUUCUCGAGUGCUCUCAUAUAAAGAAGAAUUAGAAGGUAAUUUCAUAUUCUGUUCUUAAAUAUUGAAGGUUGAAACCAUAUUACUCUAUUUUUUAUUGAAAAGUUAUUCUAGUAAUUGAAGUUAUUCUAUCCGUCUUGUUUUGUUUAUGCGCCUGCGACUACCCUUUCAAGAUAUAUAGAGAUAUGCAUGUAUCUAUAUCAUUCUGUAAUAAUAAUCUUGGAUUCUUAUCUUCAUGGCAUAACACUUCAAUUUACUUAUUAAACUAUUUAGUUGGUAUCUUAUAUGCAUAACAUCGACAUUCGUCAUUUAUCAAGCCAAAACUUGUAAGGUAUCUUAUGUCCAAACUGUUAGUGCAAGUUAUUUGAUAUAUUCAUCGUUUGCAUCAAUUCUCUUGAGAUAGAAGAUGUUUUUUCAACUAUAUUAUGUUCAAAUGGUUGGUGUAAGUAAUUUGAUUGCAUGUAUACCAACUUUGCUUUACAUCAAAUUCCAUUUUCUGACAUUCAUCUAGCUAGUUCAGUUCCAAAGUUAUCUAAUUUUCUUUUAUUUUGAAAAAAGGUAAAGAAAAUGAUUUCGUGAGUGUAGGUGAUGUCAUGAGAUGAUUAUUUUAUGGAUUUUGCAUUUCUAGCUGCUGAACUGUCCAAACUUCAAAUUCAGGUACUAGUCUUUAGUCAACUGGUUAUUAAGCUUAUGUACAAAUUUAAAGUUGUUAGGAGUGGAUGACUGGACUUAUAUGCCAUAUGUUUAUUGAAAGUUACCUCUUCCAUGGUAAGUUAUAUGAAUUCUAGUAUUUAUAAAAGCUUAAAUAUACUUCACUGUGUUUACUUUGUCAAUUAAUAUAUUAAAAAAUUUAAAAGGAGAAAGAAAGUAUAUUCUUACACAUAAUUGAAAAUUUCAAGCAGUCUUCUAAUGCUAAAAAUAUUGAAGUUUUUACUGGAACAAAGCCUACUUAUUAGUAUGCCUUACUGUAAUGUGCCGCUAAGGAAAAUGAAUCUUGAAAUCGAUGGCGUUUACUGCAUUGAAGAGUGGAAUUUAUAUGUAAUUUUUUAUCAGAAAGUUGCUGACUUAGUUGAAUUACUUGCUCCUUCUCUGAACCUUUUUGAUUAAAGGUUGUUCAAAGUACAGAAUAGUUGGGCUUUAAACUCAUAAAUUGGCUUUGUAGCUAUAAUCUAAACUUGUAUUGUAAUUUUCUACUGCUAUCACUUUCAUGUAGUCUAUCAAUGCCUAGAGGAAAAAAAAUAAAGCUUGUCUCAAUGAAACUAGCAUAUUUAAGUUUCACACUAUGGUAUGUUCACGAGGAAUAAACCACUCACUACUGCCUCUUGUUUGAUGUUUCAAUGAAGUGGUUUUAAGUGGAUCUAAAAUAUUUCAUGUGUUUACUUUAACUGUUAGGAGCAUUCUAGGAGUGAAAUUAAGUAUUCUACUAAAUUAAAAUGUUUAGUAUCUUAAUUCUAUAUUCUAGAAAACUUUUGCCAUUAAUCCGCUGAAGGAGUCUCGUUGGGGUAGGCACUGAGUAUGGAUCCAACAUUGACAUGCUUUAGUAGGCUAGUCAGACAGGUUUUUGGCGCAUUGGAACACAAUCUGAAGUAUAUAUUGUACUGGAGGUGAGAGAUAAUAUAUCUGAUGAACUGAAUGGCGGGCUAUCAAAUUUGUUAAUUUGCGGGCUAUGGAGCUUGUGGGUUUACGAAACAAGGGUCUGAAAAGCAAGUGGGGUGACCAAGCUGGGGAAGAAAGAUUGGAUUAAUUACUUAUUCAAGCUGUGUACUAUUUAUUUUACGGUGUCGAAACUCUAAAGUUAAGAAUUUUGUCAUUUUUAUUUGUGGAUGUAAUGAAAUAUUAUUUUUUUAGAAUGAGUAAAAGUUGUGUGUUUAUUUUA